UACGGUCAUAUCACAUUGAAACACAGGUUCCUAUAUGAUCACCAAAGUUAAGCAAUGUCAAGCCUGGUCAGUACCUAGAUGGGUGACUGCUUGGGAACACCAAGUAUUGUAAG